CAUUCCAGACGUCAGAUUUUCCGU
rnacentral:miRNA from 1 species